UGAAAUCACACACCUGUAUGACUCAAAUUUAUGAGAAGGAACAGAGUCUACUUUUUAUGCAAUCACACGUGAUGCUAAGCACUGACGGAUGGAAAGUUUAUUCUCAAGGUUUAACUGAAAGUCCAUGGACAUGGAGCGCUGUGAUGGGUCAACUAUUGUGGUGCUGUUGCGAGCGCUGUUUCCGCGGACACUGAGGGUGCCGCAGGCUCCUGCCAUCCCGCCGCCGAUCCCUCCGGCGAUGCCACUGGGCCCAGCCAUGCCCACUCCUCCCCCCAUACCCAUACCCAUUCCCCCUGCCAUUGCCACUCCUCCUGUGAUCCCCACUGGUCCUCCGAUCCCUCCUCCUGCAAUCCCUGACGCUCCUCCUCCCAUCGUUCCCCCCGUGGCUCCUCCUAUGCCGCGGCCAUAGAUCUCACACGGGAUCUCCUCCGUGACGCGGUCCUCGAUGACCUGCUGGUCGCAGUCGUGAGUCUGUGAGUGCUGCUUGUAGCCGUAGCAGCUCUUCUUGUAGCUGGACGUGGAGUUGAACGUCUUCAUGGGUGGGGGCUUGGAGAAGUCGUUGUGGUAGGACAGCUCCAUGGAACUGAGGGUGGUGCGGCUGUGCUUCAUGCUGCCGCCGCCGGUCGCCAUGGAGCCCUGCGAACCGCAGUGGUGCUCGUGCACGCAGCGGGACAUCGUGGAGGAGCGCCGCAGCUUGUGGAAGCUGUCCAGCUCCUCGGACAGGUCGGCCAUAUCGGAGGAAAUCUCCUUGUCACGCAGAGAGAAGAGCUCGUAGUGGGGCGGGUCGAACACCUCCUGGAAGCCCGCCUUGUUGAAAACACCGGGCCUGCGGGCUACCACCUGGAAGACAGGAUAUCCAUUCAGACAGUUACGUUUUAAAGAAUAGAAAGCCGCUAGCAUCCACAUUGAUACAGAGGGAUGUCUGAGAUUCUGUGUACUGAUCAUUUGAGCAACGUUUGAAGCAGAGGCUGAUGAUAGUUGGUUCUGUAUUUGUGUCUAUGUUGCCAGACCACUGUACAUCACAUCUGAUUAUGUUUGACAAAGACAUAUAUCAUAGUAAGAUUUGAAAUCCAGUUUUCAGGGCUUUCAUAUUUAAUGUUUACAAAGGUGGUAGGAUUAAAGGGGAUGAAAAGCAAUUUCCACCCAAAUAUAAAGACUUCAAAAUCCUUUA